rnacentral:rRNA from 14 species
GAGAAGGGCGUUUGGUGAAUGCCUAGGCAGUAAGAGGCGAUGAAGGACGUGAUACUCUGCGAUAAGCCAUGAGGAGCUGAGAAUAAGCUUUGAUCCAUGGAUUUCCGAAUGGGGCAACCCACCUGACUGUUUAUUGUUGUCCUACCACUUUGUUACUUGAGGACUUAGGUCCAAGAGUGCAGAUGGUGGGCUCACCAGUAAGCAUAAACAGGUACUUAUAGACUGAAUACAUAGGUUUAUAAGAGCAAACCCGGGGAACUG